UGGUGAUGAUGGCGAAGAGGUCACACCCGUUCCCAUACCGAACACGGAAGUUAAGCUCUUCAGCGCCGAUGGUAGUUGGGGGCUUCCCCCUGUGAGAGUAGGACAUCGCCAGGCU
rnacentral:rRNA from 1 species